UACGAAGGGGGCUAGCGUUGCUCGGAAUUACUGGGCGUAAAGCGCACGUAGGCGGCUCUUUAAGUCGGGGGUGAAAUCCUGGAGCUCAACUCCAGAACUGCCUUCGAUACUAAAGAGCUUGAGUCCGGGAGAGGUGAGUGGAACUGCGAGUGUAGAGGUGAAAUUCGUAGAUAUUCGCAAGAACACCAGUGGCGAAGGCGGCUCACUGGCCCGGUACUGACGCUGAGGUGCGAAAGCGUGGGGAGCAAACAGG
rnacentral:rRNA from 1 species